rnacentral:rRNA from 1 species
GAUGAACGCUGGCGGCGUGCCUAACACAUGCAAGUCGAGCGAAGUUUAGAGGAAGUGCUUGCACGGAAUCGAAGACUUAGCGGCGGACGGGUGAGUAACGCGUGAGCAACCUACCUUUCACAGGGGAAUAACAACGGGAAACCGUUGCUAAUACCGCAUGAUAUUAAGAGAAGACAUCUUCUUUUAAUCAAAGAAGCAAUCCGGUGAAAGAUGGGCUCGCGUCCGAUUAGCUAGUUGGUAAGGUAAAGGCUUACCAAGGCAACGAUCGGUAGCCGAACUGAGAGGUUGACCGGCCACAUUGGGACUGAGACACGGCCCAGACUCCUACGGGAGGCAGCAGUGGGGAAUAUUGGGCAAUGGGCGAAAGCCUGACCCAGCAACGCCGCGUGAAGGAUGAAGGCCUUAGGGUUGUAAACUUCUUUGAUCAGGGAAGAAAAAAAUGACGGUACCUGAAGAACAAGCCACGGCUAACUACGUGCCAGCAGCCGCGGUAAUACGUAGGUGGCAAGCGUUAUCCGGAUUUACUGGGUGUAAAGGGCGUGCAGGCGGGUUUGUAAGUCAGAUGUGAAAUCUCCAGGCUUAACUUGGAAACUGCAUCUGAAACUACAAAUCUUGAGUACUGGAGAGGAUAGUGGAAUUCCUAGUGUAGCGGUAAAAUGCGUAGAUAUUAGGAGGAACACCAGUGGCGAAGGCGGCUAUCUGGACAGUAACUGACGCUGAGGCGCGAAAGCGUGGGUAGCAAACAGG